UCAUGCAAGUCGAGCGAAUGGAUUAAGAGCUUGCUCUUAUGAAGUUAGCGGCGGACGGGUGAGUAACACGUGGGUAACCUGCCCAUAAGACUGGGAUAACUCCGGGAAACCGGGGCUAAUACCGGAUAACAUUUUGAACCGCAUGGUUCGAAAUUGAAAGGCGGCUUCGGCUGUCACUUAUGGAUGGACCCGCGUCGCAUUAGCUAGUUGGUGAGGUAACGGCUCACCAAGGCAACGAUGCGUAGCCGACCUGAGAGGGUGAUCGGCCACACUGGGACUGAGACACGGCCCAGACUCCUACGGGAGGCAGCAGUAGGGAAUCUUCCGCAAUGGACGAAAGUCUGACGGAGCAACGCCGCGUGAGUGAUGAAGGCUUUCGGGUCGUAAAACUCUGUUGUUAGGGAAGAACAAGUGCUAGUUGAAUAAGCUGGCACCUUGACGGUACCUAACCAGAAAGCCACGGCUAACUACGUGCCAGCAGCCGCGGUAAUACGUAGGUGGCAAGCGUUAUCCGGAAUUAUUGGGCGUAAAGCGCGCGCAGGUGGUUUCUUAAGUCUGAUGUGAAAGCCCACGGCUCAACCGUGGAGGGUCAUUGGAAACUGGGAGACUUGAGUGCAGAAGAGGAAAGUGGAAUUCCAUGUGUAGCGGUGAAAUGCGUAGAGAUAUGGAGGAACACCAGUGGCGAAGGCGACUUUCUGGUCUGUAACUGACACUGAGGCGCGAAAGCGUGGGGAGCAAACAGGAUUA
rnacentral:rRNA from 1 species